rfam:Ornithorhynchus anatinus chromosome 1, whole genome shotgun sequence.
CUCCUCUUAGGGGCACAUCUGGAGAAUUCCCAGUACUCUACCAGUCUUGACUACAGGAGGGAGAGUCAGGCAGAGGCAUAUCCAUUCCAUUCUUAGAUUGGGCAGUGGCUAGCGAGUGGAAAACAAUCUGCUACAAGU